AUUGAACGCUGGCGGCAUGCUUUACACAUGCAAGUCGAACGGUAACAGGGUGCUUGCACCGCUGACGAGUGGCGAACGGGUGAGUAAUGCGUCGGAACGUGCCGAGUAGUGGGGGAUAACGCAGCGAAAGUUGUGCUAAUACCGCAUACGUACUGAGGUAGAAAGUGGGGGACCUUCGGGCCUCACGCUAUUCGAGCGGCCGACGUCUGAUUAGCUAGUAGGUGAGGUAAAGGCUCACCGAGGAGACGAUCAGUAGGGGGUCUGAGAGGAGGAUCCGCCACACUGGGGCUGAGACACGGCCCAGACUCCUACGGGAGGCAGCAGUGGGGAAUUUUGGACAAUGGGCGAAAGCCUGAUCCAGCCAUGCCGCGUGUCUGAAGAAGGCCUUCGGGUUGUAAAGGACUUUUGUCAGGGAGGAAAUCACUAGCGUUAAUACCGCUGGGGGAUGACAGUACCUGAAGAAUAAGCACCGGCUAACUACGUGCCAGCCGCCGCAGUAAAAC
rnacentral:rRNA from 1 species